rnacentral:rRNA from 1 species
ACGGGAGGCAGCAGUGGGGAAUAUUGGACAAUGGGCGAAAGCCUGAUGCAGCGACGCCGCGUGAGUGAAGAAGUAUUUCGGUAUGUAAAGCUCUAUCAGCAGGGAAGAAAAUGACGGUACCUGACUAAGAAGCCCCGGCUAACUAUGUGCCAGCAGCCGCGGUAAUACAUAGGGGGCAAGCGUUAUCCGGAUUUACUGGGUGUAAAGGGAGCGUAGACGGCAUGGCAAGUCUGAAGUGAAAGCUCAGGGCCCAACCCUGGAACUGCUUUGGAAACUGUCAAGCUAGAGUGUCGGAGAGGUAAGUGGAAUUCCUAGUGUAGCGGUGAAAUGCGUAGAUAUUAGGAGGAACACCAGCGGCGAAGGCGGCUUACUGGACGAUAACUGACGUUGAGGCUCGAAAGCGUGGGGAGCAAACAGGAUUAGAUACCCUGGUA